CUCAGCGUCUGAAAGAUGGAAAAUACUUUCGUUUUCAGUCAGCUUGGGACUUGGGUAAAGUUGGUUUUAUAAAAAUAAAAAAAAUAAAAAAAUUAGUAGGUUGACAAUGAUGUCGCUGAUUAGAAUUUGCAAAAAUAAAAAUAAAAAACUUUAUUGCACAUAUAAUUAGAAAGUUAUUGAACGUGGAAAUGUGUGAAUCCCAGACAGCACACGUACGUCUGGCCGACGUCGGCCCAAUAUCGAAACGUCGGCCUCACUACCUGAAACAUCUAAUAAACAUCGGCCAGGCGUAGGUCGAUAUAAUUCGGUCAGUGCUCUGUUUUCCAGCUCAUCAGUCGUCGGCUCUGAGUCGGUUCACGACCGCAGGCCGAUGCCGCGCUUUUCUGUUUGUGCUCGAGCCCAGUUAUUCGUCUCUUAGCAACCCACAGAGAGAAGACACUCAUCCCGGUGACAUCUGUGCUUUCAGGUAAGAUUUCACUUCAGCUAAAUUACAAAAAAAAUACUACUUUGUUAACUCUGUGACACUUAAAAGGUACUAGUUAGGCACAUUUGGUGUGCUACAGCACAGGUGAAGAGACUGUGGCUAAUUUCCAACUAACUUGUUUAGCUAACGGUCACGCUAGCGAUUUUUAAAAUUAAUAUUUAUGCCUUAAUGCGUUUCCAGCCAUUUCUCUGAGGGGAAAUGUUAAAGCGGAUUAUUAAAGAGAAGUCCUAACUGCUUUUUCGCCGUGUUUUUCACUCUUUUACAGGCAGAAUCCGUCUCUAUACGGUGAGCUAUUGUUGCUGUUGCUUUUGAACUACAAAUUGAGUUUUAAGUUCAUUAUUGAAUAUUAAUUGAACGAGACUGUAAUUUAUUAAUGUAAUAUUUUAAUCCUAUAUGUUUAUUUGUGUAAAUGCUGUGUGCGCGUUGAGCUCUGCGCGAGCGGGGAGCAGAGUUGCCAUGGAAACGGGGCUUUGACACAACUACUGGCGAACAGUAAUCUCCGUCUCGCGCUGCGGUUUUCACUGAUUUCAGGAGGACAGAAAGAAACUCUACAUAACAGAAGGGAAGCUCCAAGAUUUCAACAUUUCUGAAGGAGCUACUGACUUAGAAAAAAACAGAUUCUUCAGUGCUGAUGGCCUGCUGCACCCAGCAGAGUUGGAGUGAACCUACUGUCAGACAGCGGCGUACCGUGGGGUUUCAGUCAGGGCCUUCAAUUCUUCAGUGCUGAUGGCCUGCUGCACCUCAGCAGAGUCAGUGUGAACUCCUGUAAGACAACAUCACCAAGAUGCUAUAAACCGCAGGACUAGAUGCCCAUCCUGAGGUUACUAGAGAUGAAGCCAGCUCCAGUUUGGAUCCAAACUCACUUGUGAAGAUGCCAACACUCACAAAGACUACAGAUGACGGCAACUGUACAUGGACACACAAAACACUGGACACACAAAACAAAUAUUAUCCCUAUAUUGCCUAUAAGGGUAAGUUUGACAAUUUUCAACCCGCUAUUGUAUUAUUGCAACGUCUGUAAUAUCUGUAAAUGAACAAUAUUUACUCUUUCUCUGAGUUAAAUAGACCCUAUUUGUCCCCUUUUAUUUGUAAGCAGCACUUCGCAAAAUGACGCAAAAUGAAAUGAGUUUUGACAAAAUGACACAAACACUUCUGCAGCAUCUAAAUGAAAAAAUGCUGUUUUGCAUCAGUUUUGCUGACAAAUACACUGGGUAUCUUGGAGAAAGAAUAAACAUUGUUCUUUUACAUAUGUUACCAACAUUGUAACAAUACAAAAUGGACUGAAAAUUGUUGAACUUACCCUUUAAUAAUGUUGAAGGAUAAUGUUUAACUGAACACAAAAAUAGAGACUUUAAAUAAAAAUAUUUCAGAAUUUUUAUCAUGCUAUUUAAAAUUUUUAACUGCUUAUUUAUUGUUUGCCUGGUUUUUAAUUUGUGUUUAUGCAACUGUUGUAUUAUUGUAACUCAGUUUUUGCCAUGAAGAUAGCCUUCGAUGCUGACAGUGUGCUGUUUGACUUGUUUUAUGAACUACUGUCAUAUGGACAUUAUUUUGUUGCCAGAAGAUGGUCUUCCCCAGUGAGUCUCAGUCACCUCUGGCUGAUUAAAGGAUGUUUUUAAAUUGUAACCUUGAAAUAUGCAUAUUCUGUAAACCUACUUUGAAAUGAUAAGUAUUGUGAAAAGUGCUAUACUUAUACAAUAUUUAACCAUGGUUUUACUAUAGUAAAACUGUAGCAAGCAUGAUUAUAGUAACCAUGUGUUUUUUUUUUUUUUUUUGAAACCAUGCUUCGAUGUCAUAUUCUACUAUAGUAACAUUGUAGUAAUACUUCAGUAAAACUGGUAACUAUGACUAUAGUGACCAUAGUUUUUGAAAUUAUGGUAAAUGUUGUAACUAUGGUUUUACUGCAAAUGCUGUAGUAACGGUUAUUUUGUAGUUACUAUGGUUUUACUGCAACAGUCAUAGUUAAACCAUGGUUACUGUAGUAAAACUAUGGUAGAUUUUAUUUUUACUAUGGUUUUACUACUUUAAAUGCUAUAGUAAUGGUUAUUUUGUACUUACUAUGGUUUUACUGCAACAGUCAUAGUUAAACCAUGGUGAUUGUAGUAAAACUAUGGUUGAUUUUGAGUUUACUAUGGUUUACUGCAAAUGCUGUGGUAAAAUCAUGGUUAAUUUUCAAAAGACUACAAAUAAUCGUGAAUUAUCCGCUUUUGAUCAAAACAUCUGGUAAAUGUAAAUGUAUUUGUAUGUGUAAUGUGUUAAAUGAAAAUAUUAAUAAAGUUGCAGCUGUUCUUGAGAGUGGUGUGUAUUGUUUUAUUAUAAACCAGCGGCGGCAGCUGCAGGUGGUCCGUAACGAUGAGCAAAACGCCGGUGAACCGCGUCCACGCAGAGCGGCCGGGAUUUACAGCUGCGUCAUCCCAACAUCGGCCGGAGGGCAUAUCCCAUCAGAGGCCGACGUCGCGGCGACGUAUUGCCGAUUAGCAAACGAUCCCUGAGCGACAUCGUGCCGACGAAAUUUUGUACAUCGGGCCGACGUCGGCCAGACGUACGUAUGCUGUCUGGGAAUGUUGUGAAUGUGCGAAUAUAAAACCAACUUUACCCAAAUUCUAAAAAGCCCGUCAAACAGCGCCUGAUUACUGAACUAAGUUAUGUUUUGUGCUAAUACUGUCAAAACACACAAGGUUUACAUAUAGACUCAGUUGGUUAUGUCUAAAAUUAAAGUAAACAGACGAGAGAGAAGGAUGCGUGCCUGUAUAUUAGAUGCGUGCAGGUCUUAAAGGGACAGAACUAAACAUGCUGCCUACUGUAAUUAAAGGGAUAGUUCACCCUAAAAUUUUAUUUCUGCCAUUAUUUAUUCACUCACAUGUUGUCCCAAACCCGU